rnacentral:sRNA from 1 species
AGUUUCAUUAGGCUCUGAAGCCAUUACAAAGGUUCACUGAGGAAAAUCCAGAAAGCUACACAACACUAAAGGGGUGAAAUAAAAGUCCAGCGAUCCAGUGAAAGAAAAGAGAAGUGACAGAAACAACCUUACCUGGACUGAAGAGAAAAGCACAGACAAGAGAACAAUGCCCUGGACAUUGGCUCCAGAGAUCCACAUGACAGGCCCAAUGUGCCUCAUUGAGAACACUAACGGGGAACUGGUGGUGAAUCCAGAAGCUCUGAAGAUCCUGUCUGCCAUUACACAGCCUGUGGUGGUGGUGGCAAUUGUGGGCCUCUACCGCACAGGAAAAUCCUACCUGAUGAACAAGCUGGCUGGGAAGAAUAAGGGCUGGAGUACAGUGGCAAGAUCUCAUCUCACCACAGUCUUGACUUCCUGGGCUCAAGCAGUCCUCUCACCGAAGCCUCCUGAGCUUCUCUCUGGGUUCCACAGUGAAAUCUCACACCAAAGGAAUCUGGAUGUGGUGUGUGCCUCACCCCAAGAAGCCAGAACACACCUUAGUCCUG